rnacentral:snoRNA from 1 species
UCGUCAGGUGGGAUAAUCCUUACCUGUUCCUCCUUUGGAGGACAGAUAAAACACGAUGAUUGGAGAUGCAUGAAAUGUUUAAAAUUUAAU